UGAGUAAGUAUGUUUUACAUGUUUAGUGUAAAAUUAAUUGAAAAUUGCGAAACAAAACCCUAAUUUUUUGGUAUUUUUUCUUUUUGAUGAUGCUUCAGGAAAAAAAUUGAAAAUACUGGAGUUCCAGAACAAUCAAAUGAACAAGAGAAGGAAACUUCAAAAAUAGAUGAUGCAUCAACAAAUCAAGGAAAAAAAAACAACUGAAGAGGAAGCAAAAACUGAUCACCUACAACAAGAAAAGGCUGGAUCAGAAUUAGUGAAUACAGGGUAUUUGAUUCCCAUAAUGUUCAUUUUCAUAUUACUUAAUAAACAUUUUUAAUUAUUUGAAAUUAAUUGAUUUUCAGAAAUCAAUCACCUAAGAAAGACACAAGAGAGGUUGAACAACUACAACCAAAAAAGGAUGCAGCAGGGUAUUUUCAGAAAUCAACUAAUGUUCAUUUUCAUAUUAGUUGAUAAACAUUUUUAAUCAUUUUCAAUUUUUAAUUUUCAGAAAUGAAUCAACUGAAGAUGAG